UGGAGUGUCGCCAAGCAGGUAAGGCACGCGGCUGUUAACCGCGCUAUCGCAGGUUCGAGCCCUGCCUCUCCAGCCA
rnacentral:tRNA from 1 species